rnacentral:rRNA from 1 species
AGUGAACGCUGGCGGUAGGCCUAACACAUGCAAGUCGAACGGCAGCACAGUAAGAGCUUGCUCUUACGGGUGGCGAGUGGCGGACGGGUGAGGAUUACAUCGGAAUCUACUUUUUCGUGGGGGAUAACGUAGGGAAACUUACGCUAAUACCGCAUACGACCUACGGGUGAAAGUAGGGGAUCUUCGGACCUUGCGCGAUUGAAUGAGCCGAUGUCGGAUUAGCUAGUUGGCGGGGUAAAGGCCCACCAAGGCGACGAUCCGUAGCUGGUCUGAGAGGAUGAUCAGCCACACUGGAACUGAGACACGGUCCAGACUCCUACGGGAGGCAGCAGUGGGGAAUAUUGGACAAUGGGCGCAAGCCUGAUCCAGCCAUACCGCGUGGGUGAAGAAGGCCUUCGGGUUGUAAAGCCCUUUUGUUGGGAAAGAAAAGCAGCAGGUUAAUACCCCGCUGCUCUGACGGUACCCAAAGAAUAAGCACCGGCUAACUUCGUG